GAGUGUAUAGCUCAGGUGGUAGAGUGCAUGCUUAGCAUGCACAGGUCCUGGGUUCAAUCCCCAGUACCUCCU
rfam:Camelus ferus unplaced genomic scaffold scaffold1077, whole genome shotgun sequence.